rnacentral:tRNA from 1 species
GCCUUCGUGGUGUAAUGGUUAACACACUCGGCGCGUAUGUGAGAGAUCUAGGUUCGAUUCCCGGCGAGAACA